rnacentral:rRNA from 1 species
AUUGAACGCUGGCGGCAGGCCUAACACAUGCAAGUCGAACGAGUGGCGGACGGGUGAGUAAUGUCUGGGAAACUGCCCGAUGGAGGGGGAUAACUACUGGAAACGGUAGCUAAUACCGCAUACCAUCGGAUGUGCCCAGAUGGGAUUAGCUAGGAGGUGGGGUAACGGCUCACCUAGGCGACGAUCCCUAGCUGGUCUGAGAGGAUGACCAGCCACACUAGAAGUGUGACAGGGUCCAUACUCCUACGUGAGGCAGCAGUGGGGAAUAUUGCACAAUGGGCGCAAGCCUGAUGCAGCCAAGCCGCGUGUAUGAAGAAGGCCUUCGGGUUGUAAAGUACUUUCAGCGAGGAGGCGUUACUCGCAGAAGAAGCCCCGGCUAACUCCGUGCCAGCCGCCGCGGUAAUAC